GGGCCCGCACAAGCGGUGGAGCAUGUGGUUUAAUUCGAUGAUACGCGAGGAACCUUACCAGGGCUUAAAUGUAGUCUGACAGGGGUGGAAACACCCCCUCCUUCGGGCAGAUUACAAGGUGCUGCAUGGUUGUCGUCAGCUCGUGCCGUGAGGUGUCAGGUUAAGUCCUAUAACGAGCGCAACCCCUGUUGUUAGUUGCCAGCGUGUAAUGACGGGGACUCUAACGGAACUGCCGGUGCAAACCGUGAGGAAGGUGGGGACGACGUCAAAUCAUCACGGCCCUUACGUCCUGGGCCACACACGUGCUACAAUGGUUGGUACAGAGGGCAGCUACCUAGUGAUAGGAUGCAAAUCUCAAAAAGCCAAUCUCAGUUCGGAUCGGAGUCUGCAACUCGACUCCGUGAAGCUGGAAUC
rnacentral:rRNA from 1 species